CCUACGGGGGGCUGCAGUGGGGAAUAUUGCACAAUGGGCGCAAGCCUGAUGCAGCCAUGCCGCGUGUGUGAAGAAGGCCUUCGGGUUGUAAAGCACUUUCAGCGGGGAGGAAGGCGGUGAGGUUAAUAACCUCAUCGAUUGACGUUACCCGCAGAAGAAGCACCGGCUAACUCCGUGCCAGCAGCCGCGGUAAUACGGAGGGUGCAAGCGUUAAUCGGAAUUACUGGGCGUAAAGCGCACGCAGGCGGUCUGUCAAGUCGGAUGUGAAAUCCCCGGGCUCAACCUGGGAACUGCAUUCGAAACCGGCAGGCUAGAGUCUUGUAGAGGGGGGUAGAAUUCCAGGUGUAGCGGUGAAAUGCGUAGAGAUCUGGAGGAAUACCGGUGGCGAAGGCGGCCCCCUGGACAAAGACUGACGCUCAGGUGCGAAAGCGUGGGGAGCAAACAGGAUUAGAUACCCCGGUAGUC
rnacentral:rRNA from 1 species